UCAACAUUCUAAACAAGUUCAGGCUGCAUAGAGGGGACUGUUGGAGUGUUUCAUAUUUUUCCAGUUGUUCUGCACCAGGUGAAGUUUCAGCAAAUAAACGUGCCCCAGUUAUGAAACCACGUACAUCCCACUCAGUCAGAGGUUUAAGCUCCUGCUCCCUCCCAAAGGGUAUGUACCAAUAUGCAUGGAGCACAUUUUCACAGAUGACAUCAGAGAACAAGCAUAUGAAUUACCAGGCAGCCUGCCAUCUUUGAGUUCAGACAGAAUGCCAUUAAUACCAGAUGAAGAGCCAAACAACAACAGCACAACAACAUGAAAGCCCAAAACAACUGGGACCAGAUACUCUCCUGCUCUCUCUUUGCCCCAAAAGUUGCGACACCAUUGAAACUACCAGCAGACUUGAGGGACUUUCUAAAAAAAGUAUUGUCAGCAAAUCACGUUACAAUGAAUAAAAUAUUCGCCACUGUUGACCAUGACUUAUUUAAGAGCUAUUAUAAAUUCAUACUUACAUUUAAAAAACACAAUCAUUUUUUAAAUGGAAUGGCAAUUUUUUAUUCCACCUGGAAAUAUUUUAGUAUUUCCACCUGGAAAUAUGAGGAUAUAGAUUAGAUGCAUAAUGUGGCAAUAUAAUAUGUGUCUUUUGGCAAUUUCGAACAAAAUGUA